CUCAUAAGAUACAGAAUUAGAAUUGCUUUGCUUUUGAUCCCUACAGUUCAGUAGUGACACAGAAGCCAUGACACUCAUUUUAAAAUAUACUUUUAAUUUUAGAUGUUCAAAUGACAUUUCCUGGUAUCACACGCAGAGCUCUUCAUUCCUAGCACUUUAUCUCGGCAUGAUACUUUUGCCACAGCUACGGAGACAGCCUGGUGUAGCCUUGGGUCCCUUGGGACACUUAUCCAUCAUGGCUCCAAGGCUCCUUUUGGCCACAUAACUUCAACCUUUCUUUACUUUGGGUGACCUUGAGGAGUUCUGGUCCUGAGUUCAAAUCCCAGCAAUCACAAGAUGACUCACAACUAUCCAUAACGAGAUCUGAUGCCCUCUUCUGAUGUGUCUGAAG